rnacentral:lncRNA from 1 species
CUUCACGCUGCGCCGCAUCGGAGGCCGCUCGGGGCCGUCGCCGCCCGCGUCCGGCUCGGCGGCUGUGCGGGCGCCUCCCGCGCCGCGCGUCUCCCUACUUUUCUCGCCCGGCCGCUGCCCCUCCCCCUCCGAGGGCGGAGGACGCCUCGGAGCUCGGGCCGCCCGGAUCAAGAUGGCGGCCGGCGCCCACCCUUGGGCUUUGUCAUUGGACGGCGCCUCACCCCCAGAGCCCCUUUUGGCAUCUGCGUUGAACACUCUGCUCUCUCUUGACCCCCAAUCCAUUGCAAGAAGCCAGUAAACACUCAGAUUCUGUCCCUUGUGGAUGAAGUUGACUGCACUUGAAUGAACAAUGAUGUAUGAAGACCUUUAAAAAGAGCAGCACCCAUGAUAGAACUUCAGCACUAUUUUGAGCAUCAAACCCUUCAGGAUGAAAUGGAGCAGACUUCACUAAGUCAAAUGGGAACACAGGUAUACACCAUCCAGCUCUAUUUAAACACCAGAGAUGCACAAAGAAGAAGAAUAUAUAUGAGCUUACAUAAUGAGGUUUUAGUGAGAUUUCAUGAACAAGUCAAGCCAAAUCAGCAAGAAUUGACUGAGCACUCUAAGUGCAAGAGUGUUGAUGAAAAUGCUGAAUUCACUGUAGGACCUAGAAAGCUGUUCUAUUCACAGAGAAAUACUCCAGCCUCCAGGUUUGGUCCCAGAGGACUUGAAGGAGAUGGUAUGGUCCAAUGUGAGAUGGUCCCAUUGGACCCUGCCAUCAUUAAAGCAUCUUGGGAGUCCUGUUGGAGCACUUAGGCAAAGAUGAGAACUGAGUGGAAAGCAGGAAAUUUGCUGUGAAAGGCUUAGUCCAAAAAUAUCAAACGGUUGGCCUAGAAUAAUUUUUCCCCCAAAUUGAAGUUCAGUAAAUCAAUUAGUGAAUCACAACCCUACAUAUUUUUUUUAAAAAUAAUGUCUAUAGAAGAGCAUGGUUUUCUUUAAAAAAAAAAAAAAAGCAUAUCACAAAUAGCCUAAACUUAUUUCAUAAAAUGUGUAUUAAAAUUAGGAAGGGGUAGGGCCGGGGAUUUAGCUCAAUGGUUCCGCCACCUGCCUUGCAAGCGGAAGGACCCGAG